GACGAACGCUGGCGGCGUGCUUAACACAUGCAAGUCGAACGGUAAGGCUCCAGCUUGCUGGGGUACACGAGUGGCGAACGGGUGAGUAACACGUGGGUGACCUGCCCUGCACUUCGGGAUAAGCCUGGGAAACUGGGUCUAAUACCGGAUAGGACCAUGGUGUGGAUACUGUGGUGGAAAGUUUUUUCGGUGUGGGAUGGGCCCGCGGCCUAUCAGCUUGUUGGUGGGGUAAUGGCCUACCAAGGCGGCGACGGGUAGCCGGCCUGAGAGGGUGGACGGCCACAUUGGGACUGAGACACGGCCCAGACUCCUACGGGAGGCAGCAGUGGGGAAUAUUGCACAAUGGGCGGAAGCCUGAUGCAGCGACGCCGCGUGGGGGAUGACGGCCUUCGGGUUGUAAACUCCUUUCACCAUCGACGAAGGGUUUCUGACGGUAGAUGGAGAAGAAGCACCGGCUAACUACGU
rnacentral:rRNA from 1 species